UGGGGAAUAUUGGACAAUGGGCGAAAGCCUGAUCCAGCCAUGCCGCGUGUGUGAAGAAGGUCUUAGGAUUGUAAAGCACUUUAAGUUGGGAGGAAGGGCAGUAAGCGAAUACCUUGCUGUUUUGACGUUACCGACAGAAUAAGCACCGGCUAACUCUGUGCCAGCAGCCGCGGUAAUACAGAGGGUGCAAGCGUUAAUCGGAAUUACUGGGCGUAAAGCGCGCGUAGGUGGUUCGUUAAGUUGAAUGUGAAAGCCCCGGGCUCAACCUGGGAACUGCAUCCAAAACUGGCGGGCUAGAGUAGGGCAGAGGGUGGUGGAAUUUCCUGUGUAGCGGUGAAAUGCGUAGAUAUAGGAAGGAACACCAGUGGCGAAGGCGACCACCUGGGCUCAUACUGACACUGAGGUGCGAAAGCGUGGGGAGCAAACAGG
rnacentral:rRNA from 1 species